GGAUUUAGUGCAAAGCUGAGCUCAGGACUGUGAACCCACAGCAGAGCUAGAGCGAACAAGGCGUGGUUCCAAGACAGCUCUUCAGAAUCUAGGGCCUGUGAGCACCUUUUCUGGCUGUGCUUCCAGGGCUGUCUGACAUUUCAAGGGCGAAUGGACUCACUGACUCAUGAACUCAGCUAAAAGCGUGGAUGCGAAGGGUGCUUGGGAAGGUCUCGGGAGACCAGGGGCACAGAGGCAGAAGCCAUGAGGGUCCCCCGCAAUUCCAGCCCCGGCUGCCCCCCACACUCCUGCAGGGGCAGACACCAGAGGCCCAGGGAUAAUGGCUACAAAAAAGCAGAUGGGGCUGGAGAUUGGGCCCAAGGAACAGAGCGCCCCCUUCAGUCGAGACACUCAGAGGCUUAUGCAGAUUCAAGACACACUCUGCUGGGCCCCAGGGUGGGAGGGAGAGGAGGAGGGACUGGCAGGGAGCCAGGAGGCGGGGAGAGACCUUUGCCCAGCAUCUGGUCUCCGCCAGCUGUCCCCAAGAGACCCUGGGGCAUCGCUCACCAACAGAGCGAGGCACAGCUCAGGUGGGGCAAAGCCAGUGUUCCCCUUCUUUGUGGGGACAUAAGACUUAUUAGGAAGCCACUGGGAAAGAACAAUGUUUUGGAAAUAAUAAUAGUGCAAGGGGGAUGGAAAAAGUAAGAGCCUUGGUAGGGGGUGGGUCUCCAAGAAGUGGCUGUGCUCCUGUUUCUGAGGGAGAGUCCAGCAAGAGGACAGCAAGACCCCAGAAGGGACCAUCUGCAGGACAGGUCCACGUGCAGGGACCCAAAAGGCGCCCUCCCUGGACACGGAAGCAGCGAAUGAUUCCUGGGUCCUCGAGCCAGAGAAUCAGAGAACGGAGCUUGUCAAGGCAGCUGGUGGGCCUGAAAUGAUAAGGGCCUUCUCGUGGGGGCACACGUGAACUGAAGAACAUGGACCAAAGCGACAACAGACGCCUCUGGGGACUACUGUGAGCACAGAUCAGCAUAACUGGAAGGAACUACAGAAGAAACUAACAGCCAGAGAAGGUGGGAAACUGCUUGGUCCAUGUGCCUCAUCUCAGUGAAUGAGACCAACACCUACCAACACUCAAUCUGGAGUUUAGUCCACCAUAUGCAAUUCUUCCCAAGUUCCGCCAAAUUCACCUCCUAAAUAUACCUCAUGUGUGUCCAAUUCACCAAUGGUAGCAAAUACAUUACCCUCCUUGAAGCCGAC